rnacentral:rRNA from 1 species
UACCCGCUGGAAUUAAGCAUAUCAAUAAGCGGAGGAAAAGAAACCAACAGGGAUUGCCUUAGUAACGGCGAGUGAAGCGGCAACAGCUCAAAUUUGAAAUCUGGCGUCUUUGGCGUCCGAGUUGUAAUUUGUAGAGGAUGCUUCGGCGUAGGCGCCGCCUAAAGUUCCUUGGAACGGGACGUCGUAGAAGGUGAUAGCCCUGUGACAGGGCGGAUGCCGUCGCCAUGUGAAGCUCCUUCGACGAGUCGAGUUGUUUGGGAAUGCAGCUCAAAACGGGAGGUAAAUUUCUUCUAAAGCUAAAUACCGGCCGGAGACCGAUAGUGCACAAGUAGAGUGAUCGAAAGAUGAAAAGCACUUUGGAAAGAGAGUCAAACAGCGCGUGAAAUUGUUAAAAGGGAAGCGCUUGCGGUCAGAACUUGGCCGCCGUUGCUCGGGGAGGUCUCGUGCCUCCCUCGCUCUUCGGCGGCUGGGCCAGCAUCGGUUCGGGCGGCUCGAUAAAGGCCGCGGGAACGUAGCUCCCUCCGGGGAGUGUUAUAGCCCGCGGCGGAAUGGGGCCCGCCUGGAUCGAGGUCUGCGCAUCUGCUCGGAUGCGGCGUAAUGGCCUCAAGCGGCCCGUCUGAAACACGAGCAUGAUUCC